rnacentral:rRNA from 1 species
AACAAACGCUGGCGGCGUGCCUAACACAUGCAAGUCGUACGAGAAAGUCGGCUUCGGCUGAUGAGUAAAGUGGCGCACGGGUGAGUAACGCGUGGAUAAUCUGCCCCUCAGUUGGGAAUAACUCAUCGAAAGGUGGGCUAAUACCGAAUAAUACUGUCUUUACCUCGGUGGGACAGUCAAAGAUAGCCUCUGCUUGCAAGCUUUCGCUGAAGGAUGAGUCCGCGUACCAUUAGCUAGUUGGUAGGGUAAUGGCCUACCAAGGCUACGAUGGUUAGCUGGUCUGAGAGGAUGAUCAGCCACACUGGAACUGAGACACGGUCCAGACUCCUACGGGUGGCAG